rnacentral:rRNA from 1 species
GCUAGCGGCAGGCCUAAUACAUGCAAGUCGAACGGUAACAUUGGUGCUUGCACCAGAUGACGAGUGGCGCACGGGUGCGUAACGCGUAUGCAAUCUACCUUUUACUAGAGUAUAGCCCAGAGAAAUUUGGAUUAAUCCUCUAUAAUAUCUUUUAAUUUCAUGAUUUUAAGAUUAAAGUUUUAACGGUAAAAGAUGAGCAUGCGUCCUAUUAGUUUGUAGGUGAGGUAACGGCUCACCUAGACUACGAUAGGUAGGGGCCCUGAGAGGGGGAUCCCCCACACUGGUACUGAGACACGGACCAGACUCCUACGGGAGGCAGCAGUAAGGAAUAUUGGACAAUGGACGAAAGUCUGAUCCAGCCAUGCCGCGUGCAGGAUGAAAGCCCUAUGGGUUGUAAACUGCUUUUAUACAGGAAGAAACACUCCGACGUGUCGGAGCUUGACGGUACUGUAAGAAUAAGGAUCGGCUAACUCCGUGCCAGCAGCCGCGGUAAUACGGAGGAUCCAAGCGUUAUCCGGAAUCAUUGGGUUUAAAGGGUCCGCAGGCUGUUUUUUAAGUCAGAGGUGAAAUCCUACAGCUCAACUGUAGAACUGCCUUUGAUACUGAAAAACUUGAGUUAUUGUGAAGUGGUUAGAAUGUGUGGUGUAGCGGUGAAAUGCAUAGAUAUCACACAGAAUACCGAUUGCGAAGGCAGAUCACUAACAAUAUACUGACGCUCAUGGACGAAAGCGUGGGGAGCGAACAGGAUUAGAUACCCUGGUAGUCCACGCCGUAAACGAUGGAUACUAGCUGUUCGUCUAACAUUGGUUAGAUGAGUGGCUAAGCGAAAGUGAUAAGUAUCCCACC